GGGGAUUUGGCUCAGUGGUAGAGCACUUGACUAGCAACCACAAGGCCCUGGGUUCGGUCCCCAGCUCCG
rnacentral:tRNA from 1 species